rnacentral:rRNA from 1 species
UACGAAGGGGGCUAGCGUUGUUCGGAAUUACUGGGCGUAAAGGGUGCGUAGGCGGCUCGUUAAGUCAGUGGUGAAAUACAACAGCUCAACUGUUGAUGUGCUAAUGAUACUGGCGAGCUUGAGUACAGACGAGGUAGGCGGAAUUGACAGUGUAGCGGUGAAAUGCAUAGAUAUUGUCAAGAACACCGAUAGCGAAGGCAGCUUGCUAGCCUGUAACUGACGCUGAGGCACGAAAGCGUGGGGAGCAAACAGG